rnacentral:rRNA from 1 species
UACGGGGGGGGCAAGCGUUGUUCGGAAUUACUGGGCGUAAAGGGCUCGCAGGCGGCCGACUAAGUCAGACGUGAAAUCCCUUGGCUUAACCAAGGAAUGGCGUCUGAUACUGGACGGCUUGAAUUCGGGAGAGGGAUGUGGAAUUCCAGGUGUAGCGGUGAAAUGCGUAGAUAUCUGGAGGAACACCGGUGGCGAAGGCGGCAUCCUGGACCGAUAUUGACGCUGAGGAGCGAAAGCCAGGGGAGCAAACGGG